rnacentral:lncRNA from 1 species
ACCAACCGUACCAUUCCAACCCACAUCAAUGACGCCUCCAAUCUAAACUGUCAAAUAUUCUAUGCACAUCAUGUAAAAUAGGUCUCUUUCCCCUUAUACCUCUGUGCAUCUCGUUUCCGUGGCUACAUGUUUAUGCAAAUGAGAAUUGUCCUUUCUCUCUCAGGUUGAUUGAACACUGAAUUUGUUUUGCACCUUGGCAAUGCAAAGCCAUGCUGUCUUGCCACCUGGUCUACCACAUAAUUGCAAAAAAUUACAUUAUAAUGAUAACUGUCCCCAAAUUAGCCUGAUAACACCAUCUACCUGCCUUGUGAGCGAAAGAAACAGUGUGCAAUAAAGAAGGAUGUUAAAACAGAGUCGAGAUAGGGGAAUAAUGUUUAAUUGGCUCUCCAGAGUCUACUAAUUUUCAGAAUUGGAAACCUAGUGUUUGAUUUGUUCUUUUUAGUCAGUGAGAAGAAAAAAUAUCCUUCAUAAAUUCUGAAUGACAAAUUUGCCCAUCCUUUUUUGCAUGUGGUUCCAGCAUCCCAGGGAAUCUAAAGUGUCAUUUCCUCUCUGGAAGAAAGGAAGCACAAAACAAGCUAGUGACAUCUCAUGUCCAGAAUCUCCACAGAACAUCUGUGUAGGUGCUUGUAUUGGAG